AUUAUGUCCUGCAGAAUGUAAAUACAACUCAAGUGAUAGCGUAAAGACAAUAAUAUGCAUAAGCUAGAGUUGAAACAUCAGAUUAAUAGAUUAUUGACCAAGUUAAUGGACCUUAUUUAUAUCAAUGUGUCUUUGAAUGUUUUGAGUACUAACAUUAGGCAAGCAUCUGGAUACAAUUGAAAUGUUUGCGUAUUGAGCUUAGGUUAAUAAGGAUGACUGGUGGCUUUGGAGUUUGGAAAAUUCAAAAUCAUUUUUGGUUCGUAGCGUCUACAAUUAUAUAACAGCUCAAAUUCCUACAUAUAUUGUGGUGCCCGUUUCAUCCCUUUGGCACAAGGAUGUUCCCUUAAAAGUGGUGUUGUUUGCUUGGCGAGUGUUCCGUGAUAGGUUGCCCAUAAAGGACAAUCUAUUUCGUCGCGGCGUUAUCGAUCAAAACUCGUUGGAGUGCGUGGCUGCUUGUGACUCAUCAGAGUCAUCCGUUCAUUUAUUGUUACACUGUAAUGUUUUUGAAUCUGUCUGGCAUCAAAUUUAUAAAUGGUUGGGCAUUUAUGUGGUUGCUCCUCAACACUGGCCGGAGAAUUUUGUUCAAUUUAGUUUUAUUGGUGGCACAUCAAAGGUGUGUCAAUCCAUCUUACAGGUUAUAUGAUUUGCGACUAUAUGGGAAAUAUGGAAAGAAAGAAACAACAGGUUGUUCACAGACAAAAUUUAUACGGUAACUCAGGUGGUCGACAAGAUUAAGUCCCUCACUUUUAUGUGGUUGAAGGUGAAGUUUAAUACUCCUCCUUUCAAUUUUCAUGGAUGGUGGCUUAGUCCGUUCACCAUGCUUGGAAUAGGCUAAUAGCUUUUUGUUUCUUCUGUUUUCUGGUGAUUAGUAAAUUUUGUAAAUAAUGUUUGGAUUUACUGUUUUUUCCUAUGUACA